GACGAACGCUGGCGGCGUGCUUAACACAUGCAAGUCGAACGGAAAGGCCCUGCUUUUGUGGGGUGCUCGAGUGGCGAACGGGUGAGUAACACGUGAGUAACCUGCCCUUGACUUUGGGAUAACUUCAGGAAACUGGGGCUAAUACCGGAUAGGAGCUCCUGCUGCAUGGUGGGGGUUGGAAAGUUUCGGCGGUUGGGGAUGGACUCGCGGCUUAUCAGCUGGUUGGUGGGGUAGUGGCUUACCAAGGCUUUGACGGGUAGCCGGCCUGAGAGGGUGACCGGCACAAUUGGGACUGAGAUACGGCCCAGACUCCUACGGGAGGCAGCAGUGGGGAAUAUUGCACAAUGGGCGGAAGCCUGAUGCAGCAACGCCGCGUGCGGGAUGACGGCCUUCGGGUUGUAAACCGCUUUCGCCUGUGACGAAGCGUGAGUGACGGUAAUGGGUAAAGAAGCACCGGCUAACUACGUG
rnacentral:rRNA from 1 species